rnacentral:misc_RNA from 1 species
CGUAGGUGAACCUGCGGAGGGAUCAUUUUACACAAAUAUGAAGGCGGGCUGGAACCUCUCGGGGUUACAGCCUUGCUGAAUUAUUCACCCUUGUCUUUUGCGUACUUCUUGUUUCCUUGGUGGGUUCGCCCACCACUAGGACAAACAUAAACCUUUUGUAAUUGCAAUCAGCGUCAGUAACAAAUUAAUAAUUACAACUUUCAACAACGGAUCUCUUGGUUCUGGCAUCGAUGAAGAACGCAGCGAAAUGCGAUAAGUAGUGUGAAUUGCAGAAUUCAGUGAAUCAUCGAAUCUUUGAACGCACAUUGCGCCCUUUGGUAUUCCAAAGGGCAUGCCUGUUCGAGCGUCAUUUGUACCCUCAAGCUUUGCUUGGUGUUGGGCGUCUUGUCUCUAGCUUUGCUGGAGACUCGCCUUAAAGUAAUUGGCAGCCGGCCUACUGGUUUCGGAGCGCAGCACAAGUCCGCACUCUCUAUCAGCAAAGGUCUAGCAUCCAUUAAGCCUUUUUUUCAACUUUUGACCUCGGAUCAGGUAGGGAUACCCGCUGAACUUAAGCAUAUCAAUAAGCGGAGGAAAAGAAACCAACAGGGAUUGCCCUAGUAACUGCGAGAA